UGGGGAAUAUUGCACAAUGGAGGGAACUCUGAUGCAGCGACGCCGCGUGAACGAAGAAGGCUUUCGAGUCGUAAAGUUCUUUUAUAUGGGAAGAUAAUGACGGUACCAUAAGAAAAAGCCCCGGCUAACUACGUGCCAGCAGCCGCGGUAAUACGUAGGGGGCUAGCGUUGUCCGGAAUCACUGGGCGUAAAGGGUUCGCAGGCGGAAAUGCAAGUCAGGUGUAAAAGGCAGUAGCUUAACUACUGUAAGCAUUUGAAACUGCAUAUCUUGAGAAGAGUAGAGGUAAGUGGAAUUUUUAGUGUAGCGGUGAAAUGCGUAGAUAUUAAAAAGAAUACCGGUGGCGAACGCGACUUACUGGGCUCAUUCUGACGCUGAGGAACGAAAGCGUGGGUAGCAAACAGG
rnacentral:rRNA from 1 species